AUUUAUUAAAUUAAUUUUUAAAAGUUAAAUUGUUCAAGUAUAUUUGAUAAAUAAACUAAGGUUUUUACUGUUUAUCAUAUUCUUUAAAUAAUCUUAGUUGUCAUCUUCUAUUAAAAUUUAUGAAAUUUCAUAAAAUUUUCCAUUUAAAGUAUUGAAUUCUUCAAAAAGAAAAGAAAAAAAAUGUUAAAAGGGGUUGGGUUGAGCCCUUGCUACCUAUACCGCCCCAAGGUGAAAUUUCCCACCCCGUGAUUUUUGAUUGGUUUUUUUGCCAUCUCUACUAACUUGAAAUAAGAAAUUUAACAUUGUUUAUUCAAGAAUGUGAAGAAGAAGUCUAAGAAGAGAUUCAAAACAAAUAUAUCAAGAUUUAAAGAUUCAAAGCUUCGAAAUGAAGAUUAAAGAAAGAAAUAAUCUUGAAUCAAUUGAAGUCUUGUUUGGAGGAAUUCAAGAAGUGAAAAUUGAUUUUAUUUCUUCUCUUGCAAAUAUAUUUUUUAUGGUUAUGUAUAUUCAUAUCGUUUGUUGUAAUUUCAUAGUAAGCAUGCUACGCUAAAAUUGUAAAUAUUGGGAUGAAG
rnacentral:lncRNA from 1 species